rnacentral:miRNA from 1 species
CCAUCCAAUUCUGUCCGGUCUGAAC